GGGCGUAACUCAGCGGUAGAGUGCUUGCUUCCCAAGCAAGAUGUCGUGGGUUCAAAUCCCAUCGCCC
rnacentral:tRNA from 1 species